UGGGGAAUAUUGCACAAUGGAGGGAACUCUGAUGCAGCGACGCCGCGUGAGUGAUGAAGGAAUUCGUUUCGUAAAACUCUGUUCUAUGGGAAGAAAAGGACUGUACCAUAGGAGAAAGCUCCGGCUAAAUACGUGCCAGCAGCCGCGGUAAUACGUAUGGAGCGAGCGUUGUCCGGAAUUAUUGGGCGUAAAGGGUGCGCAGGCGGCUUUACAAGUUGGAUGUGAAAUAUUGUGGCUCAACCACAAACGUGCAUCCAAAACUGGAAAGCUUGAGUUAAGGGGAGGUAAGUGGAAUUCCUGGUGUAGCGGUGGAAUGCGUAGAAAUCAGGAGGAAUACCGGUGGCGAAGGCGACUUACUGGACUUAAACUGACGCUCAGGCACGAAAGCGUGGGGAGCAAACAGG
rnacentral:rRNA from 1 species